UACGUAGGGGGCUAGCGUUGCUCGGAAUUACUGGGCGUAAAGCGCACGUAGGCGGCUUUCUAAGUCGGGGGUGAAAUCCUGGAGCUCAACUCCAGAACUGCCUUCGAUACUGGAGAGCUCGAGUCCGGGAGAGGUGAGUGGAACUGCGAGUGUAGAGGUGAAAUUCGUAGAUAUUCGCAAGAACACCAGUGGCGAAGGCGGCUCACUGGCCCGGUACUGACGCUGAGGUGCGAAAGCGUGGGGAGCAAACAGG
rnacentral:rRNA from 1 species